ACGGAAAAUGUAAAGUUGUAAAAAAGAGAUAAAAACACCGUAAAAUCUAGGUUUUAUUUUAAUUGGUAAUUAAAAUAAAUAAAAAAAUUGCCAAGGAUUGGGUCCCUCGAUAUUGACUGAUGGGCUGCAACGCUCCGCCUAUUCACAGGCCCUAUCUACUAUCUAGCGAAACCACAGCCAAGGGAACGGGCUUGGCAGAAUUAGCGGGGAAAGAAGACCCUGUUGAGCUUGACUCUAGUCCGACUUUGUGAAGAGACAUGAGAGGUGUAGGAUAAGUGGGAGGUCUUCGGGCCGACGGUGAAAUACCACUACUCCCAUCGUUUUUUUACUUAUUCAGUAAAGCGGGGAGCGACCCUCGGGUCCCGUUUCUAGCCUUAAGCGCGGCGCUCUCGGGCGCCGCGCGAUCCGCUCUGAAGACCGUGUCAGGCGGGGAGUUUGACUGGGGCGGUACAUCUGUCAAAGAGUAACGCAGGUGUCCCAAGGUGAGCUCAGCGAGGACGGAAACCUCGCGUAGAGCAAAAGGGCAAAAGCUCACUUGAUUUUGAUUUUCAGUAUGAAUACAGACCGCGAAAGCGUGGCCUAUCGAUCCUUUUG
rnacentral:ncRNA from 1 species